rnacentral:rRNA from 1 species
CCCUUAGAUGUUCUGGGCCGCACGCGCGCUACACUGAUACAUGCAACGAGUUUAUAACCUUGAUCUGACGGUCUGGGUAAUCUUCAAACUGUAUCGUGUUAGGGAUCGAUUCUUGCAAUUUUUAAUCGUAAACGAGGAAUUCCUAGUAAACGCAAGUCAUCAGCUUGCAUUGAUUACGUCCCUGCCCUUUGUACACACCGCCCGUCGACUCUACCGAUUGAAUGGUUCGGUGAAAACUUUGGACUGUGGCAUUGUCCUUCAUUGGACUUCGCCGUAGGAAAUUGUUUAAACCUCAUCAUUUGGAGGAAGAAUAAGUCGUAACA